rnacentral:sRNA from 1 species
UUGCCUUUGGUCUAUCCCUGUCCUGGCGA